UGAGUAACACGUGGACAACCUGCCCCCCGGUUCGGGAUAGCCCAGGGAAACCUGGAUCAAUACCGGAUGCGAGGGCGCCGCACAAGCGGCCGUCGGGAAAGGCGCUUCGGCGCCGCCGGGGGGAUGGGUCCGCGUCCCAUUUAGCGUAGACGGUGGGGUAAACGGCCCACCGUGGCGAUGAUGGGUAGCCGGCCUGAGAGGGUGGACGGCCACAUUGGAACUGAGACACGGUCCAGACUCCUACGGGAGGCAGCAGCUAAGAAUCUUCCGCAAUGGGCGAAAGCCUGACGGAGCGACGCCGCCGUGAACGAAGAAGGCCGUGAGGUUGUAAAGUUCUUUUCGGGAGGGGGAACGAGGCUGCCAGGCAAUGGGCGGCCGAUGACGUGAAUCCCGGAAUAAGCCCCGGCUAACUACGUGCCAGCCGCCGC
rnacentral:rRNA from 1 species